ensembl:snRNA U6 U6 spliceosomal RNA
GUACUCACUUAGGCAGCACAUUAUACUAAAAUCGGAAUAAUACAGAGAUUAGCAUGGUCCCUGUGCAAGGAUGUCAUACAAAUUCAUAGAUAAUUCCACUUUUUUU